rnacentral:rRNA from 1 species
GCGGCGUGCUUAACACAUGCAAGUCGAACGGAAAGGCCCUGCUUUUGUGGGGUGCUCGAGUGGCGAACGGGUGAGUAACACGUGAGUAACCUGCCCUUGACUUUGGGAUAACUUCAGGAAACUGGGGCUAAUACCGGAUAGGAGCUCCUGCUGCAUGGUGGGGGUUGGAAAGUUUCGGCGGUUGGGGAUGGACUCGCGGCUUAUCAGCUUGUUGGUGGGGUAGUGGCUUACCAAGGCUUUGACGGGUAGCCGGCCUGAGAGGGUGACCGGCCACAUUGGGACUGAGAUACGGCCCAGACUCCUACGGGAGGCAGCAGUGGGGAAUAUUGCACAAUGGGCGGAAGCCUGAUGCAGCAACGCCGCGUGCGGGAUGACGGCCUUCGGGUUGUAAACCGCUUUCGCCUGUGACGAAGCGUGAGUGACGGUAAUGGGUAAAGAAGCACCGGCUAACUACGUGCCAGCAGCCGCGGUGAUACGUAGGGUGCGAGCGUUGUCCGGAUUUAUUGGGCGUAAAGGGCUCGUAGGUGGUUGAUCGCGUCGGAAGUGUAAUCUUGGGGCUUAACCCUGAGCGUGCUUUCGAUACGGGUUGACUUGAGGAAGGUAGGGGAGAAUGGAAUUCCUGGUGGAGCGGUGGAAUGCGCAGAUAUCAGGAGGAACACCAGUGGCGAAGGCGGUUCUCUGGGCCUUUCCUGACGCUGAGGAGCGAAAGCGUGGGGAGCGAACAGGCUUAGAUACCCUGGUAGUCCACGCUGUAAACGGUGGGUACUAGGUGUGGGGUCCAUUCCACGGGUUCCGUGCCGUAGCUAACGCUUUAAGUACCCCGCCUGGGGAGUACGGCCGCAAGGCUAAAACUCAAAGGAAUUGACGGGGCCCCGCACAAGCGGCGGAGCAUGCGGAUUAAUUCGAUGCAACGCGUAGAACCUUACCUGGGUUUGACAUGGAUCGGGAGUGCUCAGAGAUGGGUGUGCCUCUUUUGGGGUCGGUUCACAGGUGGUGCAUGCCUGUCGUCAGCUCGUGUCGUGAGAUGUUGGGUUAAGUCCCGCAACGAGCGCAACCCUUGUUCACUGUCGCCAGCACGUUAUGGUGGGGACUCAGUGGAGACCGCCGGGGUCAACUCGGAGGAAGGUGGGGAUGACGUCAAGUCCUCAUGCCCCUUAUGUCCAGGGCUUCACGCAUGCUGCAAUGGCUGGUACAGAGAGUGGCGAGCCUGUGAGGGUGAGCGAAUCUCGGAAAGCCGGUCUCAGUUCGGAUUGGGGUCUGCAACUCGACCUCAUGAAGUCGGAGUCGCUAGUAAUCGCAGAUCAGCAACGCUGCGGUGAAUACGUUCCCGGGGCUUGUACACACCGCCCGUCAAGUCAUGAAAGUUGGUAACACCCGAAGCCGGUGGCCUAACCGUUAAGGGGGAGCCGUCGAAGGUGGGACUGGUG